UUUUUUUUUUUUUUUUGUCUAAAUAUCAUGUAAUGCCUUUGCUACAAAUUUACAAGAUGAUUAACUAGGUUUACCUGAAGAAGCUCAAGAGACAAUAUACGGGUCUUGGUUGUGACUUCAUCACUAUCUUCUUUCAUACCCAUCUGAUACAGAACUUAAAAAAAUUGUCACAUAAGCACCACAAAUAGCUAGUCAAGAAUAGAGAGAUGGAACCAUAAAAAAAAGCCAACCUUGCAAAGGGUACGGAAAACAAGCAAUGCAUCACGCUGUCCAAUACUCAUGCUCUCCAGCUCGAUGCCCCUAUGGAAUUAAAAUGAGUUGAAUAGAAAGUCAUGACUCUUACAAAGAAAAAAAACAAGUCUAACUCAUUAUCUGCUAAUCAAAACAGGUAAAUAUGAGCAUGUGUGUAUGUAAAGCCACAUGCAAGUUUAUAUGUAUGAUACAGGCAUGUGCGUACACAUACUCAAACACAUAAGCCUAAAUAGGCGUAACAACAUACUGGUACAUAGAUCAGUAAAGCAAAAGCUUAAACUCAGAAAUUGAGAAGAGUGGUAUGACAUAUACCGUUUUAUCUUCUUGCCAUCUUCAAGAUGCACAGCUUUGUCAAGGGCGGCUUCUAAACCCUGAUCAUAGGAUUCAGAAUUUCAUUGUCCGCAAAAGCCACAACUUUUGAACCACAGUAUACAAGAGUCAUCUAUCUACCAGGAAGAACGAAAAAACUAUUCUAGAGAACUUCUUCCAGCCUCACUAUUUAAAAUUCAGACAGGAAACUCUAUAGAGCUUAUGGGACGCAGACAUGUUAAAAAAAAUAUAUCUAGUGGGCAUUCAAAGACAAGUGACAGACGAAUAUCUCUACUUAUCCAGAAGCAACAAAGAGGAUAUGCCAGAAGUAUAUAGAGAAAGAACGCUACAAAACAAUAUACAAUCUUUUUCUUCUAAGGAAUUUCUAACUUUUUUUCCAUAAUUCUUUCAGUACUUCUUUUUUUGAAGAAUACAUCUCUAAUCCAGUCACGGAUAUGGAGAAAUGUUUACGAUAUAAGGUGAAAGACCAACCUUAAUAUCAGCACCGCCCACAAGGGUAUGCAGCUCUUCAACAGAUGCAAGAGUUGUGUCUUUAGCCUGAGUGAGUGCAUCUCCUAAGGUCAUUUCUUUCUCAUUUUCGUCAGCUGCAGUUAUUUCUUCAUUUUUAGGGCUUGAAGUGUCACCUGAAACAUGUUCUUCUUGAGACACUGUGGAUGAUGCGGAAACCUAGAUAUAUAUUUAAUGGUCAGCACCUCCAUUCAACAUUUACUUUGUUUUCAUGCAUUCAAAUUCAAUAAAGCAUAUGCAACAUCGAGAAAUAUAGAAUUACUUACAAUGUCAGUCUCCAUUCUCCUGAAUACAAUGCUUAUCAUCUGAGUCAGCAUUGCUUUAGAAGUUGCUUGGUUAAUUGGGCUCUUGCUACAUGUAAAUUCUGCAUUUAGUGAUUGCACCUAGGGUGAUUAAAAAAUUAGAAAAAAGAAGAGAAAACACACCUGUUUAGAGCAAUGUUAUAGCAAACUCUAAUAACUCCCAGCAAUGGCUCCCCAUGCACUGCGAUAAAAACAGAUUAAAAUAAUUUAAAUUGAUAUUGCAAGCAAAAUAAGUAGAGGAAACAGUUCAGCCCACUAAAAGUUACAAAACAUAGCUUUCUACAUCAGAGAAUUACCUUUGAACUUUCCUGAAGCAACAGCUGUAAGAAGAACCUUCAGUACUUGGAGUACAGUGCUGCACAAAACUUUCAGCUUUAAGAAUUGGUAUAACCAAUCUCAAGAAGAUUUUGAAACACGAAGGUACAUACCUGUCUGGUGAUGAAUUAUCAACACAGCUGCAAACCAUGUUCAGAAUGUCGGUGAAAGGUGCAGAAUUUUUUCCACCAUCCAACCCCGGAUCCCCUUCCAAAUGAUCAUAGGCAAUGAGUUUCUGCUUGCAACAAACAAAGAAUUAAAAACAUAUACAGAACAUUAAUAGAAUGACAGGAGAUACAUUACAUAAGUACAGAGUCAAAUGAAUCUGAAACGAAAAAACUUUAAUGGAGCAAACGUCCAGGGAUACUCAGAGCAAUUUAAAAAAAAAAAAAAAUACAUACAUGAAGACAAUCCAAAGCAGCAUCAAAUAUUUUUAAGUUCUUUGUCUCAAAUGCAAGGCGUAGAGGUUUCAGCACAAGCUCCACUUCCGCUCCCCCUAAUGUGUGUCCAGCAUUUGCUAAGGAAACGUUUAUAGUCUCACUUUUUGACUGGCUAGCCUGCUGCGCUACUUCAGCACUCGUGACUUUUUGCGGUUCAUCUGCUUCUACCCCAGUUUUUUCACCUCCACCUUCAGCUUGUGAACUGAAGUUAAAUAUAAAGUGUCAGUGUAGACGAAAUAAACUGUUGAACAAGCCACCUUUACAUAUAAAUUACAAAACCCUUUAAGAAAUGGUCAGAUAAAAGAUAACCAAAAACACGGAAGUCUCAAACUCUUACAGAAAACUAAAAUUUGACAAAUAAGAUUUGGCAAAGAGUUUUCAUGAAAGCGUGACUAGUAGCUACCAUGGUUAAAAGGUGACUAAGAUAAACAUCACCAGAUGACUACCUAACAUUACAAUAAAAUUUCAAAGUAACUAUCAGUUUUAUCGAGAAAACUCAAUCCAACAACUAGCAGAAAAUGGAAUACUGGUUUGGUCAUUACCUCUCCACUAUGCUCGAGGGUGCAGCCUGCGUAACAACCUUUGAACCAUCUAUAAACAAUCACAAAUGGAAGCUAAACCAGUUAGCGACAGAAAAAUCAUUACCACCUAAUUUCUUCUAUCAAAUGAAAACAUUUGUGACCAAGGCCAAAUUAGAGCCAAAAAUAAAAACAAAAUGUGGAGAGAAGCCUUAAAAUUCAUUGAUUUCUGGAUAGCACCAGGGAGUGAAUGUCCUUCAUACUACUUCUAAUAUCACCUCAUUGAUAUAGAUCAGUUGAAAAUCUAAGUAGCACAUGCAGCUUACGCGUAGCUAUACCCCGAAGAUGACAAGUUCAAACAAAUUUUGUAACAACAGACGUCACUUCUCUUUAAUUUAACAAAGAACUAAGCAAACCAUUCUGUAAUCAUGUAAGUAACUAAUCCCUGUCCAGAACUUUCUUGUACAAUAAAGCACAGAUUGAUUGGAACCUAAAAGAAAUUACGUCUUCCAAAAAGGUUAUAUUACUCGAACUAACGAAUAAGAAGUAAAACUAUUCUGAUACGUAGCAUCUUUGUUCACAGGUCUAAUUGUCAGAUACAAACUAUAAGCCAGAAGGUCUUAAAUUCCAUCGAAUUUCAUAGUCUUAGCUGUAUCCUACCACAUCAUACUAAAGUUCACUAACAAAACCAAACACUGGGAAUAACCUGAAAUCUCAGCUUGUGCGACCACAUUUUAGUCAAAUACAUCUAGCAGAUGGCUAUGAUCGUGGAAUCUACCCGGACCAAAAGCAACGAUCGAACGAUUUUGAGCAAAAAAUUGGGAGAAAUUGAGAUCUAACCUUGAUAAGCUUGAAUAGCUUUCUGGAGAUCAGGAAACUUCUUUCCUCCAGACUCCUUAAGCAUCGUAUCAAAUGCUCGAGUCAAAAAUCCACCAGCCGCCAUCUUUAAUCCUUCCUAUUUCGACUUCUUCGUCUUCUUGUUCUACCGCAAAAUCGAACGAAUUACACAAUCGGAUCGUGCGGGAGCAAGAUCGUCGGAGAUACGACGGAAUCGAGAGAGAAGUGAGAAAUGAGAAUUGCCUUAGCUCUCUGGUUUUGACCCAAGAAGCUCGAUCGAAGAGAGAUCUGAGGCAACGAAACGAGCCACUAGCUAGAUCUAAUUUCCCAUUUGAAAACAAAAUUAAAUUAUUACUAACUAUUUCAAUUGAAGAAAAUAAUAAUAAUCAAUUAAAACCGGGAUUAUUUCUAAACUGAAUUGAACCGGGAUUUUGGUGGGUUCUUUCUGUUCUUGUGGGCCAAAGAGUUUAUUAAUAAGCCCAAAUGGACAACAUAGAGAGUGAUAGAAAGAUAUUUUAAAGUCCAAAUAACAAAUGAACCAAAACAUAAAAUAUGACUGUUAUUUGAUUUUAGUUCUAUGUAGCAGAUGAGAAAAACGUCGGAACACCAUGAGUUGCUUAUCCCCGAUCUUGAGUUGAGCAUCUCUCUAUUUUGCCACCAAAAGUAAAAAAAAUUCAAGCGUGUGUUGGACAUGGGCUUCAUCCUCAACAUAUCAUUUGACUCAAACAGAGACUUAAGUGUUUAAUGGGCUUGUUGUCUCCAACAAAUUAGCCUAUUAAACACAAGAGGCAAAACGGUAAUUUACAGGAGGAGUAGAAGAAUCUUUAGGUUAAGAGGUUUGUCCUAUAAAUAAUGCACUAUUGGCGAAAUAGUGAUACAAAAGAUAAUACCCAGAGAAUCAGAGCAAUAUUCGGACUAAAACUCUUUGUCUUUCGGUUUGUUUUUGUUCUCGGUUCGUUUUGUCUUCGGUUCGUUUUGUUCUCGAUUCGUUUUGUUCUCGGUUCGUUUUAAUUCACGGUUCGUUUUGUUCUCAAUUCGAGUCGUGUUACGUUGCCGAUCGAUAGAAAUCACUUGUAACUAUUCGACCGGCCUGUUGUUUACCUUUCUCGUUCGUCAGCUAAUAAAAGAUACUUCGUCUUCCCGAAAAUCCCUUACUUAUUCAUUGUUACAACCUCGGUACAAACAAUUGGCGCCCACCGUGGGACAGUUCAAAGCUUUUCUUUCACAGAACGAGAACGGCGAGCAGCGUAGAUGUCCCCAGCGAUCCACAAAACCGAAGACGACAUGACAGACACAUCGAGCGAAAACGGAUCUGACGCCAGCCAACAACAGCCGGCACCUGACGCAAUGCAACUGCCACCAGAGAACCCAGCACCCGCUCAAGCUUGCCUGAAUCCCGCACGCGCCGAACCACGUCCUGCCGGGGUAGCAGCCGCAGUGGGAGACACCGCGCUUGGCGGCGACGCUGCACCUUCAAACCAAGGUUCCCAUUUGGAUGACCUCGUGCAAACCAUCUUAGAUCGACUCAACGGUCAAGACGCACGAACAACCGAACGAAUCGAUGCCCUUGUUGCAGCGCAAGUUGCUUCGCAAAGUCAGAUCGAACGGUUACGACGCCGAAGACGUGACUCUCAGCCUCGCGAUGAUCAUGAACGCCUGCCAUCUCCCCAAAUUCCUGCUGCGGAACGUUCCGAAAACUGGCGACAAAGACCGGCAUCAGUUAUCGUAGGAUCUGUUGAAGGGCAACUCCGUGAGAAUCUACCGAACGACCGCAUCCUACCGAGCAACAGAAGUUUGCUGAACUGAUCUUCCGACAACGUCGACCAAACACGCAACAUGGAAAUCGAACGCAUGAACACGGUCAUCAAAGUCAUGUCAUCCAAAAUGCACCGUGCCAUUAGCUCUGCCCCGGAACUGGAGAAGUAUUGGAAGAAACAUAAAGAUCUCCUUUCACGGCACGCAUUUCGGAAGUUCGCGUCCGACACAUAACAAAGGUUAAGCUGGUUCCCUACAACGGUCUCACCGACCCGAAGAUUUUUCUAAAGUCUGUUAGCCUGGCAAUCAACCGCAAUCAUUUCUCUCCCGAAGAAUGCGACACGGGCAGCUGCCAGAUAUUCAUAGAAAAUCUGAUUGACGACGCGUUCAACUGGUUUUCGCUACUUGAGGCCAAUACGAUUAACAACUAUCACCAACUUACGGCCGUCUUCUUGCAGCACCAUUCCAUAUUCAUGAUUAAGGGUGCCUCUAAUGCUGACUUGUGGACUAUGUCUCAAAAAUACAAGGAGCCGUUGCGAGAGUUUAACGAACGAUUCAAAAAGGUUGUUUCCAAUAUUGCUAUAACCGAUGAUGCCACAAUCGCUGCCCUGCGGAACGCUGUCUCAUACGAAUCGCGAUUCAGGGAAGACUUGGUAAUCACCCAGCCGGCAACACUAGAGGAUGCCCUACAUCGCGCUAUCCGAUUUAUCGAAGUCGAAGUAGAAAAAGCUGUGAUGGCAAGACGCCAACCCAAAGCCUCGCAUUCAAAUGAUAAAUCAUACGACGAACACUACAAACCUCGUCAGCAUUAUGAUAAGGAUUAUAGUAAGGGAGAUAAGGGCAAGAAAGCAGCAACUUACGCAAUUGGUAGUUCAGAAGGGCAACCUUCUAAACCAUGGAACAAGUAUUAUCGGGAAACUGAUACCAAACGUAAACCGGCCUACUGCGAGUUCCAUAAAAUCUUCGGUCAUUCGACUGAUGAUUGUCUACAACUUCAGCUCCUACUCCUCUCAAAAUUCAAGAAAGGCGACCUCGACGUUGAGUACGAACGACGUCAGGUAGCAACGCACAAGGACAACAUGUAUCACCCAGUUCAGAGAGAUGAUUAUAACCAACGUAACGAGCGUCUGCGGACAGAAGAGACUCGGCAAAACGAACGUGCCCGAGAUGAUGAUCGGUGAACUAAUGCCCCGAAACGAAAUGAUAACGCCCCCAUCCAUCGGAACAAGAUACACAUGAUCAUGGGUGGACUAACGACUUGCCGCGAUUCUGUCAGAUCCAUCAGAAAUUAUCGCCGACAAGCUGAAGUAACACGGGAUUGGCUCGCCAACAGUACCCCAACUUUUGAUAACACUGAACCGAUAAUCUUCACUGAAGCCGACGCAGCUGGCUUGACAGGCCCGCAUAAUGAUCCGUUAGUUGUCGAGUUGAUAAUCGCUGAAAGCACAGUCACCAAAGUCCUCAUUGACACUGGUAGAUCAGUCAACGUCAUCUUCAAGGACGUUCUGAUACAAAUGGGGGUCGACUUGCGCUCAACCAAACACAACGUUCAACCUUAAACGGGGUUCGACGGCGAUACUGUUAUGACCGUUGGAACAAUAAUGCUGCCAAUCUACGUCGGCAGAACAAUGUUGCUCGUACGUGUUUCAUAGUCGAGCGUCAACUCAGAAAUGCUAAAGCUUUUAUGAUAACUGAACCCACUCCUUCGCUCGAUGAACGCAUAGUACCAAGGACUGAAUCGGUAAUCCAAGUUAACAUUGACGCAACUGACCCUCUUCGAUGUGUUGGUAUUGGCGCUGAUUUACCGCAACAAUUGAAGGACGAGCUCGUACAGUUUUUAAGUCAGAAUGUCAUGACCUUCGCAUGGUCAAUGGAAGAUAUGACGGGUGUCGCACCAGAUAUUACUUGCCAUGAACUUAACGUUGACUCACGUUCAAACCGAUCAAACAAAAACGACGCAAACUUGGUCCGGAAUGCGCAAAUGCCGUCAAUGAAGAGGUUCAGAAACUGCUCGAAGCAGGAUCGAUAGUUGAAGUGCGAUAUCCCGAUUGGCUAAGCAAUCCUGUCGUUGUAAAGAAAAAGAACGGCAAAUGGCGAGUCUGCAUCGACUUCACUGAUCUCAACAAAGCAUGUCCGAAAGAUAGUUUUCCCCUCCCGCGUAUUGACCAGCUCGUCGAAGCUACUGCCGGUAACGAAUUGUUGUCCUUCAUGGACGCUUUUUCGGGUUAUAACCAGAUACUUAUCCACUAAAACGAUCGAGAAAAGACGGCAUUCAUUAUAGAUCGAGGGACAUUCUGUUACAAGGUGAUGUCUUUUGGCCUCAAAAAUGCAAGAGCAACGUAUCAGCGGUUAGUAAACUGAAUGUUCGCCGAGCAACUGGGCCGCACAAUGGAAGUCUAUAUUGACGACAUGCUUGUUAAGUCAACCCAUGCUGCAGAAUACGUCUCUCACUUGCAACAAUGCUUCGACGUCCUGAACAAAUACAACAUGAAGUUGAACCCAGCCAAAUGCACUUUCGGAGUGACUUCUAGAGAAUUCCUCGGAUACCUUGUCACCCAACGGGGAAUAGAAGCGAACCCAAAACAGAUCUCUGCGCUAAUCAAUCUUCCCUCCCCAAGGAACACUCGCGAAGUACAACGGCUCACUGGACGGAUCGCUGCAUUAAAUCGUUUUAUCUCCCGUUCAACCGACAAAUGCCUUCCGUUCUACCAACUUUUGCGGAGCAACAAACGUUUUGAGUGGGACGAUAAGUGUGAAGCAGCUUUCAAACAUGCAGUCAGCGGACUACCUCUCAACUCCACCGAUUUUGGCCAAACCUGAGCAGGGCGAAGUACUGUAUCUUUAUAUUGCCGUCUCAAGUUCUGCGGUCAGCGGAGUUCUGAUCAGAGAAGAUCGCGGUGAACAGCACCCCAUUUUCUACGUUAGCAAAACUCUCGACGGUGCCGAACUGCGGUACCCUACGCUAGAGAAGCUUGCUUAUGCCGUAGUGAUCUAGGCUCACAAACUUUGACCAUACUUCCAAUCUCACGCAAUCGAAGUCUUGACUAACCAGCCUCUACGGACGAUCUUGCACAGUCCAAGCCAGUCUGGCCGAUUAGCAAAAUGGGCGGUCGAGCUAGGCGAAUAUGAUCUUACGUACAAAAACCGAACAUGCGCGAAAUCACAAGUACUCGCUGAUUUUAUAAUCGAGCUCCCACCCAAUCUCAUCGAGGGCGCCCCUCCAUCCGAGAAAUGGAUAUUGCACGUUGAUGGCGCUUCUUCCCGACACGAAUCCGGAGUUGGCGUACGAUUGGAUUCUCCUACGGGAGAAGUGCUGGAGCAAUCUUUCACACUCGCUUUCCCAGCCUCCAAUAACGAAGCUGAAUACGAGGCAUUGAUAGCUGGUUUGCGCCUUGCGUACGGUAUUGGCGUCAAAAGAAUACAAGCUUAUUGCGACUCGCAAUUGGUGGCUAACCAAUUCAGCGGUGAUUACGAGGCAAAAAAUGAACAGAUGGACGCCUAUCUCAAGGUGGUUCGCGAUCUGUCCCGUAAUUUUGAGCUCUUUGAACUUAAUAAGAUCCCAAAAAGCGAUAAUGCUCCCGCUGACGCGCUCGCUGUACUUGCUUCGACAUCUGAUCCGGAUCUCCGUCGUAUUAUACCUGUCGAGAGCAUCGAUCACCCAAGUAUUGAUCUUUCUCCCUCUACAAACACGCAGACUGCGCCAACUAUUGAUUUGCCUGGGCCGCCGAUAAUCUACUUAAUCGUCAAUACGCUCGCAUCAACAUCUUCAGCACCACCAAAUGUUUCUGCGAUAAUGAUAAGUGUGUAUUUUGCAUGUUUUGAGCAUCCAUUUGUCAUCAUUUUAGCAUCAUAUCAUCACUGUUUUAUACCAUUUCACAUCAUUUGUCAUUACUUUGCAUGUUUAGGAUAGUUUUGCAUGCAUGUUGCAUAUUUGCGUUGAUUUCAGGUGAUUUGGAGCUGUUGACGAGCUAUCUAGAAGAAGCGGACCUGAUCACGACAAACCACUCGACCAAGAGGUCGAGUAGGAGCUUCAAGAUCUCAAGAGACCACUCGACCCCCAGGUCGAGCAAAGGACAUCACCACUUCACUUCACCACUCGACCACAAGGUCGAGUGCCUUCACCUCCAUCAUCAGACCACCACUCGACCUCGUCACUCAACCUGGAAGUCGAGUAUCUUCUGACACCACUCGAUCACAUCACUCGACCCCCAGGUCGAGUGCCUUCACCUUCACUGCCAGACCACUACUCGACCUCAUCACUCUACCGACGUCUUCGAUGAAAUGUCUGAACCACUAAUUCCAGAGAUUCGUGACCCUGUACCAAGGUAUUGGUUGCAGGGAGCGUUUUGGCUUUAACUUGUUGCUUCGUAAUGCUUGUUAGGUUAGGUCUUGUCAAUGGUGAUUGAGUCUGAGACUAGGUUAGCUUGAGAAUCUCUGUUGCGGUGGCACUUAGAUUUGGUGAAUGAACUUGUUGUCUAGGGUUAAUUUAUUGAGCAUGUCAAUCACCUGUAAACUGAGGAAACGAAACUACUCAAUUACCCCAUCCUUAGGAAUUCUUUGUCUGAUUGAUUUUAUUGUUUACUUUACUGCUGUUUACUGCAUCCUGUCAUCUGUUGUUUAGUUUCUGCAAUUCUUUAACUGUUACUCGACCUGGUACUCGACCACCCAGUUGUCUGGCAACAGACUGUGCAGUCGAGUAUCCCUGUUUCAUUUUCGACCUGUCACUCGACCUCACCCAGUGCUCUGCAAAGAGCUGUGUUGGUCGAGUGUUUUACUGUUUCUGUUUGAUUUUCUGUUUUCUGCAUGUUCACUUAGGACUGCUAGAACACACCAAAACCUGUUAUGCUUGGCUUGACUUAGUGACUUUUGAUCACAUCUUGAUUGUUAGCAUCACACCCAUUUAGAUUGACAACCUAAAAUACUACAACGACAUGAUUGGUGUUUUAGGAUAAUUGACUAAAAAACCUAUUAUCAAUUUGGCGCCGUUGCCGAUUGGGUGUUUGUUUGUUACAUUGGCGAUUUCAGACUUGCUUAGAUCUAGUUCUUUUUCAAUUUUCUUUUCAGUUACUAACUGUGUGUUUUUCUUGUUGUCUUCUUGAUCCAGGUACACCUCUGCUGUAUGUGAACUCGAUCAACAGGCAACCAGAACCUCCUUUUCAACGACAACAUAACCGCUCGCGAACUCAGAAAAAGGAGAACCACAGUCAACCCUGUACCUCAGCAACCACUCGAAAUGGCUGACGACCAGAAUCAACAAAAUGGCCCUGCCAACAUUGGUGCUGGAGAUGCACCACGUGAUCACCGUCAGAGCAAAGGAAUUGCACCUCCUGCUAUCCAGAACAACAACUUCGAGAUUAAGAGUGGUCUCAUCUCGAUGAUUCAGGGGAACAAAUUCCAUGGUUUGCCAAUGGAGGAUCCACUCGACCACCUUGAUGAAUUCGAUAGGCUUUGCAACCUAACAAAGAUCAAUGGUGUCAGUGAAGACGGAUUCAAACUCUGUUUGUUUCCAUUCUCCUUGGGAGACAAAGCACACAUCUGGGAGAAGAAUCUGCCCCAUGACUCAAUCACCACCUGGGAUGAUUGUAAGAAGGCUUUUCUGUCAAAGUUCUUCUCCAAUGCCAGAACUGCAAAACUCAGAAAUGAGAUUUCUGGUUUCUCACAGAAGACUGGUGAAAGCUUCUGUGAAGCAUGAGAGCGUUUCAAGGGUUACACCAACCAAUGCCCUCAUCAUGGCUUUACUAAAGCCUCUCUGCUCAGCACUCUUUACAGAGGAGUCCUACCACGCAUCAGAAUGCUUCUGGAUACCGCCAGCAAUGGGAAUUUCCAGAACAAGGAUGUUGAAGAAGGCUGGGAAUUGGUUGAGAACCUUGCUCAAUCAGAUGGCAAUUACAACGAAGACUGUGAUAGGACCGUCAGAGGAACAGCUGACUCUGAUGACAAACACAAAAAGGAGAUCAAAGCGCUGAAUGACAAGCUGGACAGGAUUCUUCUUAGCCAGCAGAAGCAUGUGCACUUCCUUGUUGAUGACGAGCAGUAUCAAGUCCAAGAUGGGGAGGGUAACCAGUUGGAAGAAGUCAGCUACAUCAACAACAACCAGGGUGGCUACAAAGGAUACAACAACUUCAAAACCAACAAUCCCAACCUCUCCUACCGUAGCACCAACGUUGCUAACCCUCAGGAUCAGGUGUAUCCUCCACAGCAACAACAAGGUCAGAACAAACCUUUUGUUCCCUACAACCAAGGUUUCGUUCCUAAGCAGCAAUUCCGGGGGAACUACCAGCAACCACCACCACCUGGGUUUGCACCUCAGCAAAACCAAGGCCCUGCUGCUCCUGACGCUGAUAUGAAACAAAUGCUACAACAGCUGCUUCACGGGCAAGCCUCUGGCUCCAUGGAGAUGGCAAAGGAGAUAUCUGAGUUACAUAACAAGCUGGAAUGUAGCUACAAUGAUCUCAAUGUCAAGAUGGAAACACUGAAUACCAAAGUCCGUUACUUAGAGGGACACUCUGCAUCUUCUUCAGCUACAAAACAGACAAGCCAACUACCAGGCAAAGUAGUUCAGAAUCCAAAAGAAUAUGCUCAUGCUAUCACCCUGCGUAGUGGAAAAGCACUUCCAACUAGGGAGGAACCAAAAACGGUCACUGAGGACAGUGAAGAUCAAGAUGGGGAGGAUUUAAGUCUCGGGAAAGAUCAAGCUGACAAACCACUCGACCAGUCACUCGAGCAACCACUCGAUCUGCCACUCGACAGCGUUACUCGACCAACCACUCGACCUGUCAUCCCAGCAGCAUCACCAACUGCUCCAAAACCAGUUGCUGUCAAAAACAAAGAAAAGGUUUUUGUCCCUCCUCCCUACAAACCGCAGCUUCCAUUUCCUGGCCGUCACAAGAAAGCGUUCGCAGACAAAUAUAGAGCUAUGUUUGCCAAGAACAUUAAGGAGGUUGAGUUGCGGAUACCUCUUGUUGACGCUCUAGCGCUAAUCCCAGACUCUCACAAGUUUCUGAAAGACUUGAUUGUGGAGAGAAUUCAAGAAGUGCAAGGGAUGGUGGUAUUGAGUCAUGAAUGCAGCGCUAUCAUACAGAAGAAGAUCAUUCCUAAGAAGCUUAGUGAUCCUGGUUCGUUCACUCUACCGUGCUCUUUAGGUCCAUUGGCUUUCAAUAGAUGCCUAUGCGAUUUAGGAGCAUCAGUCAGUCUCAUGCCGCUAUCUGUCGCCAAAAGAUUGGGGUUCACUCAAUACAAGUCCUGCAAUAUAUCCCUCAUCCUAGCUGACAGAUCAGUAAGGAUCCCUCAUGGUUUGCUCGAAAACCUCCCAAUCAGGAUCGGUACUGUGGAGAUACCAACUGACUUUGUAGUCCUGGAGAUGGAUGAAGAGCCCAAGGACCCAUUGAUUCUAGGGAGACCUUUCUUAGCCACUGCAGGAACUAUGAUUGAUGUCAAGAAAGGGAAGAUCGAUCUAAACCUUGGCAAAGACUUUAGGAUGACCUUUGAUGUCAAAGACGCGAUGAAGAAGCCUACCAUAGAAGGGUAACUCUUUUGGAUCGAAGAAAUGGAUCAGUUAGCUGAUGAGUUACUGGAAGAGCUGGCAGAAGAAGAUCAUCUUAACAGUGCUUUAACCAAAAAUGGUGAAGAUGGGUUUCUGCAUUUGGAAACAUUGGGAUACCAGAAGCUGUUAGACUCCCAUAAAGCGAUGGAAGAAUCAGAACCCUUUGAGGAAUUGAUUGGACCAGUAACAGAGGUAAUGGUAAUGAGCAAAGAAGGGUCAACUCGAGUUCAACCUGCACUCUCGAGGACGUACUCGAGCAACCACUCGACCUUGUCUACCGACGAAUCUAGGGAGCCGAUCAUUCCAACUUCAGAUGACUGGUCUGAACUUAAGGCACCGAAGGUUGAUCUCAAACCACUUCCAAAAGGUCUAAGGUACGCAUUCCUUGGUCCAAACUCUACUUACCCUGUGAUCAUUAAUGCUGAGUUAAAUAGUGAUGAAGUGAACCUGCUAUUAUCUGAGCUUAGAAAGUAUAGGAGAGCAAUUGGUUAUUCAUUAUCCGACAUUAAGGGAAUUUCACCUAGUUUAUGCAACCAUAGGAUCCAUCUUGAAAACGAAUCCUAUUCCAACAUUGAACCACAGAGGAGGUUAAAUCCCAAUUUGAAAGAAGUAGUGAAAAAAGAAAUUUUGAAACUGCUUGAUGCUGGUGUAUCUACCCUAUCUCUGAUAGUACUUGGGUUUCUCUAGUGCAUUGCGUCCCUAAAAAGGGUGGAAUGACUGUUGUCAAAAAUGAAAAAGAUGAACUGAUCCCUACUAGAACUAUAACUGGUCAUAGAAUGUGCAUAGAUUAUAGGAAGUUGAAUGCUGCAUCUAGGAAAGAUCAUUUUCCUUUACCAUUCAUUGACCAAAUGCUUGAACACUUGGCUAAUCAUCCAUAUUAUUGCUUUCUUGAUGGAUACAAUGGUUUCUUUCAAAUACCAAUUCACCCUAAUGAUCAAGAAAAAACCAAUUUCACGUGUCCUUAUGGAACUUUUGCCUAUAAGAGAAUGCCAUUUGGUUUAUGCAAUGCUCCUGCAACAUUUCAGAGGUGUAUAACCUCUAUAUUUUCAGACUUAAUCGAGGAGAUGGUGGAGGUUUUCAUGGACGAUUUUUCGGUCUAUGGCCCCUCUUUCUCCUCAUGUUUGUUGAAUCUUGGCAGGGUAUUGACCAGGUGCGAAGAGACGAAUCUUGUUCUCAAUUGGGAAAAGUGUCAUUUCAUGGUGAAGGAAGGCAUAGUGUUGGGUCACAAGAUAUCAGAGAAGGGUAUAGAGGUUGACAAAGGAAAAGUUGAAGUGAUGAUGCAGUUGCAGCCACCAAAAACGGUGAAGGACAUCAGAAGCUUCCUUGGUCAUGCUGGAUUCUAUAGAAGAUUUAUUAAAGACUUCUCCAAGAUAGCCAGACCGUUAACCAGACUAUUGUGCAAGGAAACCGAAUUUGAAUUCGAUGAUGACUACCUCAAAUCCUUUCAAACCAUCAAGGAUGCUUUGGUAUCUGCUCCGGUUGUUCGAGCGCCUAAUUGGGACUAUCCAUUUGAAAUCAUGUGUGAUGCAUCAGAUUACGCAGUAGGAGCUGUUUUAGGCCAGAAAAUAGACAAGAAGCUUCAUGUCAUAUACUACGCCAGCCGAACGUUGGAUGACGCUCAGGGAAGAUAUGCAACAACUGAGAAGGAGCUUCUAGCUGUUGUAUUCGCAUUUGAGAAGUUCAUAAGCUAUUUGGUUGGAUCAAAGGUAACUGUCACCAUGCAGCUUUGAGGCAUCUGUAUGCCAAGAAGGAUACUAAACCAAGACUGUUAAGAUGGAUACUUUUAUUGCAAGAGUUUGACAUGGAGAUAGUAGAUAAGAAAGACAUUGAAAAUGGUGCAGCGGACCAUCUGUCAAGGAUGAGAAUUGAAGAACCCCUUCCGAUAGACGAUUCAAUGCCAAAAGAACAGCUCAUGGUUGUAGAGUUCUUCGGAAAGAGCUACAGUGGGAAAGAGUUCCACCAUCUGAAUGCUGUUGAAGGAGAAUCUCCAUGGUAUGCUGAUCACGUCAAUUACUUGGCAUGUGGAGUAGAGCCUCCCAACCUGACAAGUUAUGAAAGGAAGAAGUUUUUCAGAGACAUACACCAUUACUACUGGGAUGAGCCUUAUCUUUACACUCUCUGUAAAGAUAAGAUCUACAGGAGAUGUGUCUCAGAAGAUGAGGUGGAAGGUAUCCUGCUGCAUUGCCAUGGCUCAGCAUAUGGUGGUCACUUCGCAACGUUCAAGACAGUGUCCAAGAUUCUUCAAGCAGGCUUUUGGUGGCCAACAAUGUUUAAGGACGCUGAGGAGUUUGUUUCGAAGUGUGAUUCAUGCCAGAGAAAAGGCAACAUCAGCAGAAGAAAUGACAUGCUCAGAAUCCAAUCUUGGAAGUUGAGAUCUUUGAUGUAUGGGGGAUUGAUUUUAUGGGUCCAUUCCCAUCUUCAUACGGUAAUAAAUAUAUACUGGUCGCCGUAGACUACGUAUCAAAGUGGGUCGAAGCUAUUGCUAGUCCUACCAACGAUGCAAAAGUUAUGCUGAAGUUGUUCAAGACCAUAAUCUUCCCAAGAUUUGGAGUUCCCAGGGUAGUAAUCAGUGAUGGCGGAAAACAUUUCAUCAAUAAGGUUUUUGAGAACUUCUUGAAGAAGCAUGGAGUAAAGCACAAGGUCGCCACUCCCUAUCAACCACAGACAAGCGGGCAGGUUGAGAUCUCCAAUAGGAAGAUAAAAACAAUUUUGGAAAAGACUGUUGGGAUUACAAGGAAAGACUGGUCUGCAAAGCUAGAUGAUGCAUUAUGGGCUUACAGGACAGCUUUCAAGACCCCCAUAGGUACAACUCCUUUCAAUCUUCUCUAUGGAAAAUCAUGUCAUCUACCCGUUGAGCUCGAGUACAGAGCAAUGUGGGCGGUAAAACUUCUGAACUUUGACAUAAAAACUGCUGAGGAGAAGCGAUUGAUCCAACUCAGUGACCUCGAUGAGAUCCGUCUAGAAGCUUAUGAAAGUUCUAAAAUCUACAAGGAGAGAACCAAGCUUUUCCAUGACAAGAAGAUCAUCACUAAGGAUUUCCAGGUUGGUGAUCAGAUGCUGCUAUUCAACUCUCGCUUGAAACUCUUUCCAGGAAAACUUAAAUCUAGAUGGUCUGGCCCCUUCUGCAUCACUGAGGUCCGUCCUUAUGGAGCAGUCACUCUAGCUGGUAAGAGUGGAGAUUUUACAGUAAAUGGUCAAAGGCUCAAGAAAUACUUAGCAGACCAAAUCCUUCCAGAGGUGACAUCGGUUCAUCUCCAGGAGCUUCUUGAUGAUUAAAGGAGUAAAGGAGUCAAGCUAAUGACUUUAAACAAGCUCACUUGGGAGGAAGUCCCAUGACUAUCCUUGUAAAUAAUUUUUACUUUCUUGUUAUUUUUGAUUUGUUUUAGUUGUGUUUGUGGUUUUCAGAGACAAGAGAACAACGCGGAGAUAGAGUAAAAAUUCAAAACUGUUACUCUACAGAAGACCUGGAGAUCGAGUGUACAGCCCGUUUGGAGUAGAAAAUUUUGAAAAUCUUUUGUUGCACCUGGAGACCUUGCACUCGAGUACAUUGGUCGAGUAUCUGUGAUGUUUAAAACCCAAAAACUUUUAAAUCAUCAUUUUACUCGACCAACAGAAGCUACAGAGACUUGCAGAAAUUUCCUACAGUUUACAGUAGGUUUUCUGCAAAAAAUUUCUAAGUCAACAGAGUGUGGACCACGCGCUGAGGAUAAGCUGGAGAGAGAAUCUAAAACUCAACCUAGACCACUCAUUUUGAAGCGUCACUCGACUUCUCCAAAUCCACUCGACCUCCCUCUUUUUUAAUUUCACCGCCGACACUCUAAUCUCUCUACACCACAAAUCGCCAUCCAAAGAGCUACUCGAUCCUGCGAAUUUCACUCGACCCCCGCGCCGCCGUCACCAGCUCAUCCCCUCCGUCACCCGACCAAACCACUUCACUCGACCUCGAGAAAGCACUCGACCCCUGCAAAAAUCUACUCGGCUUCUUGUUCGUGAAUUCAGCAGAGCCUUCUAACUUCAGAGAAGUUACUCGACCUCUAGGUUUCACGAUUCACUCCACCUCCACGAUUCACUCGACCUGCUGUAGCAUUCCAACUCGACCUCUGAGAAGAUACUCGAUCCAAUUCGUCUAAGCUCAGGAACAGCUCAGGUUACUCGAGUACAGAAUUGUACUCGACCAAUUCAAUCUAUUUCAUUGCCUAUUGACAAUAAUUUUGGUUUCAUUGCUAUCUUUGAGACUAACCUAUUGACAUUUGAGUUUUGAGUUCUAAAUCUCUACAGGAGAAUCAUGAGCAAUUACAGUGGCAGUUCUUCUGUUGAUCCUGACUACAACAUGGAUGAGACAGAGUCGUCAUCUUCAAGGCCAGAGAGAGAACAGAGAGAAUAUGAAAGCUUCAGAAGGAAAGCUGAGAUAGCCCGAGGAAAGAGAGCGAUGACAGAGAGGUACGAGCUUAUAGACGAAGAUCUGGAAGACGAAUACAUGCCUGAACAGACUCGCAGAGCUACCAAACUUCUGCACAAGCCCGACGUAUUGCCUACUGAGGAAUAUGUUAGGCUUUUCAAGCUGAAUGAGUUCUGUAGCACGAGGUAUCCUUGCUCGACCUCACUUGCACAACUCGGAUUGUUGGAAGAUGUUCAGCACCUGUACCAAAGUUGUCAUCUGGACACUCUGAUGGCUUAUCCGUAUGUAGCGUAUGAAGAUGAGACAAUACAAUUCCUCUCCACGCUGCAAGUAGAGCUCUACCAAGGUAUGACCUCUGAUGAGUUGGAUUGUGAAGGAUUGGGAUUCUUGCGAUUUUCUGUGUAUGGUCAUGAGUAUAGGUUAUCAAUCAAGCGAUUGGAAUGAUUAUUUGGCUUCCCUAGUGGAACGAGAUCUAAGCCAAAGUAUGAAAGAGAAGAGUUGAAAGACUUGUGGAUCACCAUUGGCAGCUCUGUACCGUUGAAUGCUUCCAGGUCAAAGAGCAAUCAGAUACGCAGCCCUGUCAUCAGGUACUUCCAGCGUUCUAUAGCCAAUGUACUCUACUCCGAGAGAUUACAGGGACUGUCACUAACUCUGAUAUGGAGAUGAUCGCAAUGGCCCUCAAGGAAACUCUUCGCCAAACUAAGAAUGGCAUGUCCCUCCAAGGUGAAGUCAAUGACACACCUCUCUCUAUACUUCUUCUGAUCCAUCUGUAUGGAUACAAGAGCUGGGCUGUCAGCAAUAACCGCAAGAGAGCACGAGGCGCUCUGUGCAUAGGUGGCAUUGUGACACCGAUUCUGAUAGCUUGUGGAGUCCCAAUCAUUUCUGCUGGACUCGAGCCGCGAGCAAUGGAUAUCGAGCACCUACGUCACUGCGAAUUCCUGGAGUUUGCAAUGGUUGACGACUUCCACAGGUUCAGGUUUGAGCACUCUAUAGAGAGGAGAGCUAGCAUCCUUCUCCCUAGCCCUGAGGUUACACAGAUAAUAGAGGGAGAUAACAUUGAUUUUAGGCCUGAGGUUGGACGCCUCUACUAUGAGAACGCUCCGCCAUUGGAUGAGGAUGAUCUUCUUGAAGAAGCUGCUUCGGAUGGGAUGGAUGAAGAUAGGGCGGUGGAGUUCGACACUAGCAUGUAUCACUUUGGUGAACAUGUACCUCCAGCGAGGCAGAGCAAGAGCUUGACUGAAGCUCAUAAGAAUAACAGUAAAUUGCAGAAGUGGUGCAAGAAGCAGGACAAGCUGAUCGCCAAGUGUUUCAAGCUUCUGACAGAUAAGCUAAGUUGCUCUUCCUCCACCACUGCUAUUCCACAGGUACAUCCUCCUCUGGAGAUGCCAUCGAGGAGAAUUGAUGCACCUGCGCACAGGCCUGAGCUUAGCGAGCAGAGAGUCCCACAUGUCCAGGCUAGGCAUUCGUCAUUCGAAUCCCGGGAACACAAGAGAAAAAGGAAGACAACACUCACUCGAUCUAGCAGCAGAUCACGCCUCAUUCACUCGAGGAGAUCACUCGACCGCGGUGCUGGCCGCAGCAGAAGGAGAGAGGUCAAGUUUCCUCAGAGCGGUGCUGGCGCCACAGAGCUGAUGAGGUCGAGUACCCACCUGCUGGAGGUGAUACAGAACAAGGUGGUUCGUCUAUAGCUUGCGAGCAAUCGCAGGCAGCCAUUGACGAGCAACUACGUUCAUUCUUCGACUGAGGUAAGCGCCUCACUUCACCAUUGUAUUAUACCAUCUGUUAUGAUUUGUUUCUUCAUUUUUUGUUUCUGUGAUUGGAUUUGUCCUGAGUACUCUCUUCCAAGUUUAUUCGCACAGUGGACUGUGUGAUUUAUGUUUGGGGGAGGGCUUCGGAAGUGUGUGUUGCAUUGUGUAUAUUUUUGAGUCUGCAUUCAUCUAAGGCAUAGAAAAACCAAAAAAAAUUUGAAAAAUUCAGAAAAUGAUUUCACAAAAAAAAAAAAAGAGUGUUCAUGUACCUGCAUUACAUUUAGUAUCGAGUCUUGAGUGUUUCAUUUAGGAUUGUUGCAUAUGCAUAGGGGAUGAUGAUGAGAUAGCCUUGUAAGCAUUUUGAUUCACCGGAUAAACUCAAUGCCCUCAUUGCUAGUUGUCUGUUGCAUAGUCAAUGAAUUUGAAAAAAAAAACUGAACCAUGCCUAGAUUGCUCUACUAGACCACACUGUCAUGAACUGAUACCAUUCCCUAUCAAUUUGAACCUGAAUCUGAUCUUUAAUUAUCAUGUCUGCAUCAAAUUUGAACUCAUGGAUACCUUAAAAUACUUGGAUUUUCUUAUUUAUUUUGAUCACUCUUGUUAAUCCAAGUAGCUGACUCUCCUUAUUAGAGCAGUUAACCCAAACCCAAACCUAGACUUUCUUUCGAGCCCUAUAUCACUUGUGAGUGUUUGUGAGGCCUUAUUCCGAUUAAGCUUGGUAGAAAGUGUUAGGUUCGUAACGACAGAGAUAGUGUCUCAUGUAGUUCUAGUUCGCAUUUUUCGGACUAGAUAGGACUAGGUGGGCACUUAUAUUUUGGGUUGGGAUGUGUUUAAAAGAAAAAUGAUUCAUUGGUAAGAAAAGGUAGAAGACUCUAGGUGAAGUAAGCUAAAGAAGCAGAAAAAGUCUAGUACAGGUUUUGGGAUUUGUAAAGAAAAGAAAGAGUUCUUGUUAGCUAUUGAAGAUGGGCAAAAGCCCUUGGUUUUAAAAUGUUAAAAACAGGAACCUUAGUUGUUAAAGAAAUCCAAAUCCGCUAGAUAUAUCAAAGUGUUGAGAAAGCUUCUCCUAGAGUUAAGAGAAAAGAAAAGAAUGAUUAGAAAAAUGGCUUAAAAGAUUCAUGAAUGCAAAGGGUAGAGUUUAGUUCUUGUAUUGGGAUUGGAGAUGGGAUUACCAUUAGAGCUUCAUUUGAUGUACUCUGGGUAGAUAGGAUCUUAUCACUGUAUGCAUAGCUUGGGACUUACCUUUAGCAUUCUACUAAAGCUUAAUCAUUUUUUGAGAGAUACCUGUUACUGAAGCCUAUUCUGUAAGGGACCAUCUUUGUCUCUUGACCUUUUACCUUAGCCAAAUGAGUUCUUUGAUGAUGCAUUGCUUGAUUCACGUUCCAGAACUAAUGAAUGUUAAAGGGAUUGGUAGAUUUGAAAACUUGUGUAGGUCGAGCAUAUGAGUCGGAUUGAUUGAUUGAUGAGGCAUGGCUAACGUUUUUAAGUAGAAUUCGAUCUUGCAGCUUAGAACUUUCAACUUGGUCAUUGAUUUCAUCUGGUCUAUCUGGUGUUUUGGCUCUCAGUCCCCGCUUUCAAACCUCACUUCCAGCUUGUUCUUGAUUGUUUGCUUGAGGGCAAGCAAAGACUAAGUUUGGGGGAGAUGAUAAGUGUGUAUUUUGCAUGUUUUGAGCAUCCAUUUGUCAUCAUUUUAGCAUCAUAUCAUCACUGUUUUAUACCAUUUCACAUCAUUUGUCAUCACUUUGCAUGUUUAGGAUAGUUUUUCAUGCAUGUUGCAUAUUUGCGUUGAUUUCAGGUGAUUUGGAGCUGUUGACGAGCUAUCUGGAAGAAGCGGACCUGAUCACGACAAACCACUCGACCAAGAGGUCGAGUAGGAGCUUCAAGAUCUCAAGAGACCACUCGACCCCCAUGUCGAGCAAAGGACAUCACCACUUCACUUCACCACUCGACCACGAGGUCGAGUGCCUUCACCUCCAUCAUCAGACCACCACUCGACCUCGUCACUCAACCUAGAAGUCGAGUAUCUUCUGACACCACUCGAUCACAUCACUCGACCCCCAGGUCGAGUGCCUUCACCUUCACUGCCAGACCACUACUCGACCUCAUCAUUCUACCUAGAGGUCGAGUAUCGCCAUCACACCACUCGACUGCAUACUCGAUCACAAGCUUCAGAGCCUUCUUCAUUCCGCACUUAACCAGACACUCGAGCACAAGGAAGAAAAGAAGACUCCAGUUAUUCACUCGACCUCUCACUCGACCAGAUGGGUCGAGUACAGUUCUUAACCCGUCCCAAUACUUCGUCGUUUUGAGUAUUAGGGUUUCGGGAUAUUUGGCUAUAAGUAGCAUGUACUUCACAUUUUCGCAAAAGAAGUUUUUACCUAGUUUUAUUUCCGCAGAACUUGUGUUCUAGACUUUUUGUAAUCCAGAUUUCUCUUUAUCUAUUCAGUAUUCAGUAUACUGUUGUUCAUUCUGUUAUCAUCCUGCUGUUACACUGCUGUUAUCAUGUCUUCAACCUGUUCAACGUUUAUGCUUUCUGUUAUGAUGUCUGAGUAGUGAAUAGGUUUCUGAGGAUGGGUUAGAGUAGUGUAGAAUUCUCAGUAUGCUAGGUGAUUGAGUAUUGAUUGAUAAAUCCCUUCUCAAUUAGUUGUUCUUAAUGCCUAUUGCUUUCUGAUCAACUGGAAUUUGAGCCCAGACAUUUCCGCGCCCAAAAGGUGUUCGAUGAAAUGUCUGAACCACUAAUUCCAGAGAUUCGUGACCCUGUACCAAGGUAUUGGUUGCAGGGAGCGUUUUGGCUUUAACUUGUUAUUUCGUAAUGCUUGUUAGGUUAGCUCUCUUCAAUGGUGAUUGAGUCUGGGACUAGGUUAGCUUGAGAUUCUCUGUUGCGGUGGCACUUAGAUUUGGUUAAUGAACUUGUUGUCUAUGGUUAAUUUAUUGAGCAUGUCAAUCACCUGUAAACUGAGGAAACGAAACUACUCAAUUACCCCAUCCUUAGGAAUUCUUUGUCUGAUUGAUUUUAUUGUUUACUUUACUGCUGUUUACUGCAUCCUGUCAUCUGUUGCUUAGUUUCUGCAAUUCUUUACUAUUACUCGACCUCGUACUCGACCACCCAGUUGUCUGGCAACAGACUGUGCAGUCGAGUAUCCCUGUUUCAUUUUCUGUCUGUUACUCGACCUGUCACUCGACCUCACCCAGUGCUCUGCAAAGACCUGUGUUGGUCGAGUGUUUUACUGUUUCUGUUUGAUUUUCUGUUUUCUGCAUGUUCACUUCGGACUGCUAGAACACACCAAAACAUGUUAUGCUUGGCUUGACUUAGUGACUUCUGAUCACAUCUUGAUUGUUAGCAUCACACCCAUUUGGAUUGACAACCUAAAAUAGUACAACGACAUGAUUGGUGUUUUAGGAUAAUUGACUAAAAAACCUAUUAUCAGAUAACACAGCCUGCCCAAUCGCCCCCAACCGAACCUACGUUCCCACACCAGACGGACGAUCUCGUUGUUCAGGAUCGGCGCGAUGAAAUACGAAACUAUAUCGCAGAUGGCACAAUCCCGACGGAUAAGUGGGCCGCCCGACGGUUACGUGCCCGCAGCGCGCAGUACAUUGUUGGAUGGCAAUCUUCAUCGUUGGAACGCUGCUGGGGUACUUUUCUCAUGUCUUGCCGGUGACGAAACCUUACAAGUUAUGCGUGAAAUUCACGAAGGCGCUGGUGGGAACCAUUCAGGAGGUCGUGCUUUGGCACUUCGCAUACGCAAACAUGCCCAUUAUUGGCCCACCAUACUCUCUGAUUGCAGUAAGUUUGUCGCCAAAUGCAAAAAGUGUCAAAGGCACGCGCCUAUUAUUCACGCACCGACGGAACUGUUGCAUACUAUUGCGCCUCCUUACCCAUUCAUGCGUUGGGCGAUGGACAUCGUCGGACCUCUUCAUGCGUCCCGCCAAAAGAAAUACCUUCUCGUCAUGAUCGACUAUUUCACCAAGUGGGCCGAGGCGGAAUCAUAUGCCCGGAUCCAAUCGAAAGACGUCCAGAAUUUUUUUUGGAAGAACAUUAUUUGCCGCCACGGGCUUCCGUACGAAAUUAUUACCGAUAAUGGCUCUCAGUUCACUUCACUUCAAUUCGAGGGUUUCUGUGCAAAAUGGAGAAUCCGGCUGAGUACGUCUACACCUCGAUACCCGCAAGGCAACGGACAGGCUGAGGCCACAAACAAAACUAUCAUUUAUGGACUAAAGAAGCGCCUUGAAGAAAAUAAGGGUGCAUGGGCAGACGAACUCGACAGUGUCUUGUGGUCACACCGUACUUCUCCUCGGCGAUCUACCGGUCAAACACCAUUCUCCCUUGCUUACGGUAUGGAGGCUAUGGCACCGUCUGAAGUCGGCCUCCCCACGAUCUGACGUUCUAUGCUUGUCCACAAUUCUGCUCUCAACGACAAGAUGCUCCUUGCCAACCUCGACACCGUCGAAGAACAACGUGACCUGGCUCUCCUUCGCAUCUAGAACUACCAGCAGGCUGCAGCAAAAUUUUACAACAAGAAGGUAAAAUCCCGCUACUUUGUCGAAUGAGAUCUCGUUCUACGCAAGGUGUUUGAAAAUACCGCUGAAAUCAAUGCUGGCAAGCUUGGAGCUCACUGGGAAGGCCCUUAUCUAAUCUUCAAAGUCGUUAAACUCGACGUUUAUCAAUUGUUGACUAUGGACGGGACUUCAAUUCCUCGCUCCUGGAACUCGUCCAACUUUAAACGCUAUUACUAUUAACACUGAUGUGCAUCGCUACCGCGACACACUAUCACCACCACGUCUUAUCAUUUCCGCGUCUCAUCUUCAAAAAAAAAAAAAAAAAAAAAAAAACACAACGAACUACGGAUGGCUUGAUACCUUCCUAAGGGUACGUAGGCAGCUCUUCGCGUUCCACAUGAAUGCAGUGGCGAAAUAAUCCACAUCUUUACUUAGGUAGAGAAUAAAAGCUGAGACAGCCUCGCAUUAGCCAGCAGGCGGCGGAAUCAUAAUAAGCCAAGUUCUGGCUUGCACGUUCUUGCCGACCUUAGAGCAUAUACAGGAUAAGCCGGACACCAGAACCGCACCUAUCAGGUACGAUGAGUCCGUCUUGUCUACUGAACACUAAGCUUGUUGUUUCGGCUAAAACAUAUACAUAAUGUGUUUCAAAACCAAGUUUAAAACGCCAAGGACAUUUCGCCAAAUGUUAGCCGAGAUCAACCUUGCAUGAAAACUCAAAGAUAAACCGAGCAUAUGAAUAGGAUUAACCGAGCUGCAGCUCGCGCCUAAUGAAUACAAUAAGACAGUCACAAAUACAAUAUCAAGUAUGCUAAACGAAGAAUAAACCACAAACAUCAUCAAUAAAGAGAGUCGUCAAAUAGCGCGAUAGUCAAAGUCCACACAAACAUCCGAAAUACAACGCAAACCCAACAAAGGGCUAAUCAUACAUAACGCCGAUCCGACAAAGCCACAAAAGCCAAAACGUCGAACAAAGUUUACAAUACCGAAAGAGAUAAAAAAAACAGCAUAAAAGCAACCCCCAUCCUCUUGUCGCUUCGGAAGGUCACAACGACCUAAGUACCACCAAUCCUCGCUUCGCCCUCAGCCGUCGUCAUCGCUGCCUCAUCCUCAACCUCUGGAAAGGCCACGAGGUCAUCGUCAAGAAGAUCGGUAAUCGCAAGGUCAUCAACCACUUUGCCCCACUUAUUUUUGUCAACCUUAAGCUCGCACAUAGUCUCUCCGGGGACUGCCAAACCGUUUGUGAUCAACUUCUUCAAGAGUUUCCGAGAACCCGCGACCUGACAUUGCAUGAAAAGAGGUUCGUCCGCAACGCGUUUGUCAAGGAUAUGCUUCCGUAACCGAUCGAUCCUGGCUUUAUAAAGAGCAAUGUCAUCUUUAAAGCGGCUCCGUUCGGAACGAGUAGUGCGAAGGGCAUCGUCACGGGAACUUCUCAACCUUGAUUGCUCAGCUCGACCAAAAGAGUCCGACUUUUUGAGACUUUCAGAGAGUUCCAAGAUUUGCUUCUCGAAACCCUCAAUCCUUCCUUUCUCUGAGUUCAGGUUACGCAAACGAGUUGCUGCAGUAAAUUCAGCGAUCUUUCGUUUUGCCUCAACGGCCACCAUUUCCUCCCUUGCCUCUCUCGCCUGUUCCUCGAGAAAGUUGUAUAACGCGUUUCCGGUGGCAAUCGACUGAUAAUAGGAGAAAGAGAACGAAAAGUUAUCAUAACAGAAAACGAUAAACGUGACAAAGUAAAUAAAAAGAUAGACGUACCUGAACCUCCUUACAAGCCCAAGUCUGGUAGAGAUUCUUCGCUAUAGGGGAUUCAACCGGAGGGUUCUCACGAGACAACCCGUUAACUUUUCUAGCAAACUCACCGCAAUAACUCCUGCUGUCCGAAAACGGAUAACCCUUCCUAUCAUAGUUGAAUGAAAAGGAAUGAUCUACCUCCCGAAUAUCCUGAGUUGAGCCUCUCUCAUGGACGACGGGAAAAGAAUCUCUUGAACUACCUCCAUGAGAAACCUUACUGCGCGGGGAAGCAUGAACACUCAACGGCUCACGGAAAAUAGCUCCAUCCUCGGUAACAGAAUUUGAAGCUAUCUUCCUGGCACGAGCGUCUAAGAGCCGCAUCGCCCUAUCCUCGCUAUCAGAACCCGAAGCUUUCUUCCCAACUCGAGCAUCUGAAAGUUGUGUCGCCCUAUCCUCGUUAGUAAUCUGUUGGUUAGUCUCGAUCUCGCCACUCUCUAAAACCUUCGCCACCACCUGUUGCGGUUGGUUACAACAGCGGGAACAUCGACAUCCAUCGCUACUGAACUACCUUCCCGAACGUAUCAGCGUAAAUCGGAAACUAAUGGCUAGCUUUUCCCAUCUCUGAAGUUGACGGUGAAUCUGCAAAACAAUCUCCAUAAAAAAAACAUAUCGAGACAAAUUGACAAACGAACAAGAUUUUCAAAGAACUUACGAGUUUCAAACGAGUCGAUAACGUCUGGCCAAUGCAAAGGUUUUCUCGUCCUAACAGCUGCAAGACUCGCAGAUAUCCCUCCAAAAGUUCCUCGAGGUUGAAAAUCGUGCGCUGCAAACAAAACUAAACGCGGUAAGAAAGCAACAUUCACGACAGUCACAUGAGCAUAACUAAAAAGAUCUACCAGGAAACAUAUUCCACUCGCAAAAAAGAACAAAACGUCAAGAUCCGAAACAGAAAUCUCGGAUAACUCAACGAAAAAGAAGUAGAGCCGCCAAUCCGGAACUUUACUCUUCAUCCCUUUUACCAACUUAUGGUUAGGUCUAGCGUUCACUUGACAUAAUCCCGGAUUAUCUUUUGGGGCAGCAAAGGUCGUAGCCUCUUCCAAAAGGCCGGCAUCAACCUCAACUUCACGGUCGGCUCCCAACAUCAUCAAGCCAACUGCAUUGCAAACCGCAGCAAGAGCGAGCUGGGAAAACGCAAUCCUCCGUCGAAGACAGUAUCGUACGAGAAAAUCGGGGAGAGGAAAACGAAGCCCAGCGUCUGUAAAGUAACCUUCGUACAUACAGAAGAAUCCCUAAGGAAGUUUCCAAGGACGUUGAUGCUUUUCUGGCACCAUUACCGUCAAACCAUCGGGAAAAAUGGAUUGAUCAAUCAAGUGAGUCAAUCUCUUUCUAGUGCAUAACGUUGAUCCAUCAUCCCGCGGAUCAGGAACGACCACCGACUCAUCACCAAGCGGAGUCCAUCUUAGAGAGCGAAGUCCUACGACAAUAGAUCUAUGUGGAGUGUAAACAACGAUGUCAUCUUCAUCAACUUCUCUAGAUUCCAUCUCUCUACGGUAAUUUUCAAGCUGACUCAAAGUUUUUCAGAUACCAUGAGUGGUAACCACAAGAUUUGCCUCUAGAAAACGCUCAAUGUCUCCCAAAUUUCCAUCGUCGACUUCGCCAGAAUACUAGACUAAAUCACGUCCUCCAAAAUCAUCAACCGGCAACCCGUCAUUUAUUCCACGAUAAGCAUCCUGGUUGGUCCCAUAACCAUUCAAGUCACACCAACCACAGUCCAUCGUCCCAAACCGGAUUCUUUGGCUGAACCGGCAAGCUCCAACCUCUAAACCAAACCGGUUCCUCACCGAACCGUAGUCUCCUCUCUUGCUGAACCGAAUUUCUUCUUCCUCUACCGAACCGAAGAUCUCUUUCUCUCGCCGAACCAAAGCUCUUCUUCCUCUACCGAACCGAAGAUCUCUUUCUCUUGCUGAACCGAAUUUCUUCUUCCUCUACCGAACCGAAGAUCUCUUUCUCUCGUCGAACCGGAGCUCCUCUUCCUCUACCGAACCGAAGAUCUCUUUCUCUUGCUAAACCGGAUCUCUCCUUCCAAACCGAAAUGAAUCUUUUCUUCCUCUUCACCGAACCGGAUCUCUUCUUCCAAACCGAACCGGAUCUUUUCUUCCUCUUCACCGAACCGGAUCUCUUCCUCAAACCGAACCAGCUCUAUCUCCUCUCAAAUGCCGAACGAGCUCUUCCUCCUCAAUUGCCGAACCAGCUCUUCUUCCUCUUCUUACGAACCGUCUCUUCCUCCUCAACUCACGAACCAGCUCUUUCUUCUCUUCUCACCGAACCAGUUCGAUUCAAGCUUCUCUCUUCGCCGAACCAAGACGUUCUCGACGAACCACAACCAAGGAAGCGUGAACAAGAGAAAAUAAAGAGAUAAGGGAGAGAGAAUUUAUUUACCGUUUUGGUGAAAUGAUGCGGUGAGAAGGUAAAGAGUAAAAAAGAGGAGACAUAUAUAUAGGGAAAAAUUAUGCACAGUAAAAUCCUUGGAAUAUUAUCCACCGGAAAGAGUUCUGCACUCUGCUAAAAGCGUAUCCACGGCGUAAAAUCACCGGAGUUCCGCACUCCUAGGAAAACGCGCGCAAAGCGUAGAAAUAAAAAAUAUAUAAUAUUUUACAUCUACGGUGUAAUUUUCGUUUAGGCCAAAUCGACAUAUUCCGAUUCAAGAAAUCCGCUCACCAGACUCUACAAAAUUCUCGCCUGAUGAACUAAGGGGGGGGGGCUUAUUGUUGGACAUGAGCUUCACCCUCAACAUAUCAUUUGGCCCAAACAGAGACUUAAGUGUUUAAUGGGCUUGUUGUCUCCAACAAUUUAGCCUAUUAAACGCAAGGGGCAAAACGGUAAUUUACAGGAGGAGCAGAAGAAUCUUUAGGUUAAGAGGCUUGUCCUAUAAAUAAUGCACUAUUGGCGAAAUAGUGACACAGAAGAUAAUACCCAGAGAAUCAGAGCAAUAUUCGGACUAAAACUCUUUGUCUUUCGGUUCGUUUUUGUUCUCGGUUCGUUUUGUCUUCGGUUCGUUUUGUUCUCAGUUCGUUUUGUUCUCGGUUCGUUUUAGUUCACGGUUCGUUUUUUUCUCAAUUCAAGUCGUGUUACGUUGCCGAUCGAUAGAAAUCACUUGUAACUAUUCAACCGGCCUGUUGUUUACCCUUCUCGUUCGUCAGCUAAUAAAAGAUACUUCGUCUUCCCGAAAAUCCCUUACUUAUUCAUUGUUACAACCUCGGUACAAACAGCGUGCCACUAGUUAUUCAAAGUGCUACUGUAAAUGUGAUAUACCAAAAAUACUCUUAAUGAAAUUACUUACGAUUGGUACAACUAAGAGAUGAUAGUACAACUGGUUCAAACGAUAGAUUAUGGGACAAGUGGAACAAAUGGUAUUACAGUAUUACUAAACGAUAAUAGUACAACUGAUAUAAUUUACAUAUAAAUAAGAACAACUGGUACAAAUGGUUUUACUGAAAAAAAAGAAAUUUUAAUUCAAAACCCUAACACCGCCACCCUCUUUAAUUCGCCUCUUCUUAACUUGUUUAUUGUUUCUCCCGUCACCUUUCUUCCUAGAAGUUUGUAGACUGUGUUCUUUGUUUCACCAAACGAUUUCGCAUUACAAAGGAGAAAAUCAUGAAGAGAUAUUCAUAGAGAAGAAGCAUGAAUAGAGAUCUAUGCUUUGUGAAUCUUAGAAAUCAAUGGAAAAGAAACAUGAAGAGAGAUAUAUGAAGAAACGCAAAGAGAGAUUGAUGGAAAAUAAAAUAUCUAUGGAAAAUAAGAGAUCUAGAGUUUCAUUGUGAAGAUGAUGGAGAAGACGAGAAAUCUAAAAUAAUCAAAAAAAAAGAAGAAGAAGAAGAAGAGAAGAAGAAGGAGGCAUGAAAAAAAAGAAAGAAGUGUAGAUAUGUUAUUGGAUUGGCAAAAGAAAGGAUAAGAAUACGUAAAAACUAGAUUAG
rnacentral:lncRNA from 1 species